rnacentral:rRNA from 1 species
UACGGAGGGUGCGAGCGUUGUUCGGAAUCACUGGGCGUAAAGCGCGUGUAGGCGGCCCACUAAGUCUGAUGUGAAAGCCCGGGGCUCACCCCCGGAAGUGCAUUGGAAACUGGUGGACUCGAGUCCCGGAGAGGAGAGUGGAAUUCCUGGUGUAGCGGUGAAAUGCGUAGAUAUCGGGAGGAACACCGGUGGCGAAAGCGGCUCACUGGACCGUCUCUGACGCUGAGGUGCGAAAGCUAGGGUAGCAAACGGG